rnacentral:rRNA from 1 species
CUACGGGCUGCAGCAGUGGGGAAUAUUGCACAAUGGGCGCAAGCCUGAUGCAGCAACGCCGCGUGAACGAUGAAGGCCUUCGGGUUGUAAAGUUCUUUUCUUAGGGAAGAAUAAAUGACGGUACCUAAGGAAUCAGCCCCGGCUAACUACGUGCCAGCAGCCGCGGUAAUACGUAGGGGGCAAGCGUUAUCCGGAAUCACUGGGCGUAAAGGGAGUGUAGGCGGUCAAGCAAGUCAGAGGUGAAAGGCAUCGGCUCAACCGAUGUAAGCCUUUGAAACUGUUUGACUUGAGUGCAGGAGAGGUAAGUGGAAUUCCUAGUGUAGCGGUGAAAUGCGUAGAUAUUAGGAGGAACACCAGUGGCGAAGGCGACUUACUGGACUGUAACUGACGCUGAGGCUCGAAAGCGUGGGGAGCGAACAGGAUUAGAUACCCCCGUAGUC